UACGUAGGGUCCGAGCGUUGUCCGGAAUUACUGGGCGUAAAGAGCUCGUAGGUGGUUUGUCGCGUUGUUCGUGAAAACUCACAGCUCAACUGUGGGCGUGCGGGCGAUACGGGGCAGACUGGAGUACUGCAGGGGAGACUGGAAUUCCUGGUGUAGCGGUGGAAUGCGCAGAUAUCAGGAGGAACACCGGUGGCGAAGGCGGGGUCUCUGGG
rnacentral:rRNA from 1 species